ACAUAUAUGAAGAAAUCUACUUCUAAAAAUAAUUAUCUAGAAAAAAUACGAACCCACUGAUAGGUGGAACAGAAUGGUUUAUUAAUUAAUGGAAUAGUUAGCACAGAGAAAACUAUUUAUUUUUCAUUUUAAUGGAUGGUGGGUGGGUAAUUACCUUUGAUAUUUUAUAAUUUUAGAAAACAUGUCCAUUGCCGUAUAUUGUCUUACAAGGUCAACAGAUAUUACACAAGAUACAAACAAAUGUAACUAGGCAAAGUGUUCAAUCAGAUUGGCCGACUGCUAUAUACAGUGCUAGAUAGGAGACAGAAAAAUAUUGUUGGUUCCUUAUAAAAACCAGAUGUGUGAAAGCGACACGAAUGGCCCUGUCUCAAAAAAUUGAAAAAUCUGCAAUAUCAAUAACACAUGUGGACACAAACAUGAUGGAAGUCUCACAUAUCAAAAAUCAGCUGAAAAUCUGGAGGCGUAUAGAAAAAUAGUCUGUAUAACUGUGAUUUUCAAAAUCCUUAAUUUUGGCAAAAAUUAGCGGAGCAGAACGAAACAUAAACUUGAUCUGUAACUCAUCACGAGUAACUCACAAACAAAAAAUCAGCCCAAUACCUGAAAGCAUUUAGAAAAAAGUCUGUAUAACUGUGAUUUUCAACAGUUUAUCAAAGUCCAUAGCCUGUAAUUUCGGCAAAAAUUAGCCGAGCGGAACAAAACUUAUACUUGAUCUGUAACUUAUCUUGGUUAACUCACAUACCAAAAAUCAUCCCAAUAUCCAAUAUCUGAAAGACUUUAGUAAAAAAGUC
rnacentral:lncRNA from 1 species